rnacentral:lncRNA from 1 species
GUCCAAAUAACCAUAAUAUUAUUGAAUUAGCGCUCUGCUUAAAAUGAUUGGAGAUCAGAGGCUCCCAAAGUGCGGUGUGCAGUUAACCUUUGCUCUGUGAGUCACAGGGACAACUGACAGAGGUCAGGCCAGAGGUUUCCCUAGCCCGAUAUCCUGCCCAAUAGCGGCCUGCAACAGAUGCGUAUGGAAGAGUAAAACCAGGAAAAAUAUAUUGUAGCAACUACACAGCAACACAGAAGUUUGCAGCUCCCACCUAUCAAGAACCAGUGGAGAUUUCUCUCUUCUUAAGAGCAUUUGAUGGAUUUCUCUUCCACGAAUUUUUACAGAUGCUGUCUGUUGGCAUGAAAACUUCCGGCAUCUGCAAGGUCCAGCGGCAGCAAACUACACAGCUUCAUUACAGAUCUCCCUCAGGUCACUUUAAGCCCGAUGCCUCAGACUUAAAACAGCUGGGACAAAGAAAAAAGGAUCCUGAACGUUUUUCUGCUCCACCCACGUCACAUGGGCCAGAACUGCCAUCCCAUGGUAGCAGCCUUGAUCCCAUGCUCUCCUGAGUCAGGCUUGAAGUGGCCACUAAGGGCUGAGAUGCCCUACCCAGAUGGCAUCAUGAAACAUGAAAACACAAACUGGUGGGAGAUGCAUUUGAGUCACAAACCUCCUUUUGUUUACAGCUUACUUGGAGGACGGGGCUUCUUUGGAGAGAAAAGCUGCAAGAAAUCUCAAGCCCCGAUCCCCCCAGCCUGAUGGGAAACUUCUAAUUCACCCAGUUCAACAUGCUGAAUUAUUAUUCGGCUACUAGACUCAGAACUAAGGCUGCUGCAGGUACGGUGAUCGCUGCUGCAGAGAAAAGGGAAGGACUGCAACCUUACAUUGCACUGCAGCCACUUGUCUAACCUACACUAUAAUCAAACUCCUUGUUCUCCAUUCCUGCCCCCAGAUUAAGAGAGAC